rnacentral:tRNA from 1 species
GAGGGUGUAGCUCAGUGGUAGAACAUGUGCUUAGCAUGCAUGAGGUCCUGGGUUCAAUCCCUAGUACCUCCA